rnacentral:rRNA from 1 species
GACGAACGCUGGCGGCGUGCUUAACACAUGCAAGUCGAACGAAGUGGCGAACGGGUGAGUAACGCGUAAUCAACCUGCCCUUCAGAGGGGGACAACAGUUGGAAACGACUGCUAAUACCGCAUACUGAAGGAGGGGAUUGCGUCUGCUUAGCUAGUUGGAGGGGUAACGGCCCACCACGUCGACGAUCCGUAACUGGCCUGAGAGGAUAGUCAGCGACAGUUGAAAUGAGAAACGUUCCAGUCGCCUACGGGAGGCAGCAGUGGGGAAGAUUGGCCAGUGGGCGAAAGCCUGAUCCAGCCAUGCCGCGUGUGUGAAGAAGGUCUUCGGAUUGUAAAGCACUUUAAGUGGGUAGCGUUACCAACAGAAUAAGCACCGGCUAACUUCGUGCCAGCAGCCGCGGUAAUAC